rnacentral:rRNA from 1 species
UACGGGGGGAGCAAGCGUUGUUCGGAUUUACUGGGCGUAAAGGGCGCGUAGGCGGUCAGCACAAGUCAGUUGUGAAAUCUCCGGGCUUAACUCGGAAAGGUCAACUGAUACUGUGCGACUAGAGUGCGGAAGGGGCAACUGGAAUUCUUGGUGUAGCGGUGAAAUGCGUAGAUAUCUGGAGGAACACCGGUGGCGAAGGCGGCAUCCUGGACCGGCAUUGACGCUGAGGCGCGAAAGCCAGGGGAGCAAACGGG